CUUCUUGUCCCACCCCUCUUCCAUGAUGAUCCUUCUGCCUUGUGGGGAGGAAUGUGAUAUAGAUGUCCCAUUGGGAGCUGAGCACUCCACAGUCUCUUCCUUUUCUAUGUGUUGACAGUUGUGAGUCUCUAUUAAUGGCCGUCUGCUGCAAAAGCUUUUCGGAUGAGUGUUGGGAGAUGUACUAAUAUAUGGGUCUAAUGUGCUGAGGAUGGAGCCCAGGACCCAGAACAUGUGAGUUGUCUACUUUGCACCAACUGAGAAGACUCAUCCAAUCCGUGAGAGUCCCUAAGCGAAAGGAAUGAGGCCCUUCAAGGAGGAAGAGAGUCCAUCUGCAGCCGGUCUUGAAAUUACCAUUAAAAUAAAUUCUUGAUGAAAUUUCCAGCCUGUUUACCUACCCUACAGCUUGAUCACUUGCCACGCUCCACAAUCACAUGGCCCUUCUGUAAGACUUAGAAAGCCAGUACGGGUGUCAGCAGCAGAGAGCCAUGCCUCCUGGGGUAUAGCCCAGCUCCUUCAGGUGACCUGCUCACAGCCUGCUGAAGCCUGGCCUCUCCAGGAACUUUGCCACCUUGGCCCGGGAGUGGGGUUGUGCCCUUCCUCAUUAAAAUCCACAUGUCUUGCAUUCUAGUCUCUGGCCCCGCAGAGGACCGCUGCUUCCGACUCCCCUGAAGGUAGAUUUAUUUUCCGUAGAAGUUUUCUGCCUGAGGAAUUAAGUGACAGGCCCUGUGCUCCAUUCCUCCCCCCCCCCAACCCCCCGAGACUCAGCCCUGUGGACAGUCAGUCCAUCAGAGAAUCCAGGCACCGACUCCCCCUUGAGACACAUCUGUCCUCAUAUGAAAAGAGCGGCUGUCAAUCUUCUGACUGGUUGUCGGUGACCUAUAUAUAAUGCCUGAUUCCAGCACAGAGCCGGCUUCUAUCCUUACCCAAAGACCCCAGGUAGAAAUAAUAAGAUUUGCAUCUGUGAACGCUCAGCCAGUGAUGGCUUCAUGAUUAUCAAUUCAGGCAUCGAUAAAACGGGGAAAACCGCUCGCAUGUGGGGGCAAACAGCUGUCAGAGUGGAUUAAUUUUGCAGAUAUUGAAGAAAGUGAUCAUCGCAUAUACAUGCACAGCAGCAUGUGUGACAUGGCUUUGAAACAGGUCUGUGCCUACCUCUCUGUGCUAAAGAAUAAAAGAUGAA